rnacentral:lncRNA from 1 species
AUGGAGCCGGACAAAAAAUGAUUCUAAUUUGAUUAAUUUUAGUUGGUGAAAGAAUUAAUAUUGUGUAAUUAGUUAUUGGCUCAAUCUGUAUGUUAAAUACUUUUUUUGUGUUCUUUACUUGCUAAAUGCUUCUCAUGACCAUAUGUUAUCCUUGCAAUCCUACUUGAAGUUUCCAUUUGAAUUCUGAGUAACUAAAUUUAGCAGUUUUUUUUUUUUUUUUGGUUAUAUUUUAAAUUUGUUUUAACAUUUUGGCUGGAUUACGGUGCUUCUCAAAUAAAAUUAUUUCACCCAUAAACUAC